UACGUAGGGUGCGAGCGUUGUCCGGAAUUAUUGGGCGUAAAGGGCUCGUAGGCGGUUCGUCGCGUCGGGAGUGAAAACCUCGGGCUUAACUCGGGGCUUGCUUUCGAUACGGGCAGACUAGAGGUAUGCAGGGGAGAACGGAAUUCCUGGUGUAGCGGUGAAAUGCGCAGAUAUCAGGAGGAACACCGGUGGCGAAGGCGGUUCUCUGGGCAUGAUCUGACGCUGAGGAGCGAAAGUGUGGGGAGCGAACAGG
rnacentral:rRNA from 1 species